rnacentral:rRNA from 1 species
AGUGGCAGACGAGGUAGUAACAUGUGGGAACUUACCCUAGAGUCAGGAAUAACUGGUCGAAAGAUCAGCUAAUACUUGAUGGCCCGGCUAUUUAUUUAGUCGGUAAAGAUUUAUCGCUCUAGGAAAGGCCCGCACAGUAUCAGCUUGUUGGUAAGGUAAUGGCUUACCAAGGCUAUGACGCUUAGGGGAGCUGAGAGGCUAACCCCCACCGAUGGUACUGAGACACGGACCAUACACCUACGGGUGGCCGCAGUCGAGAAUCUUCCGCAAUGGACGAAAGUCUGACGGAGCGACGCCGCGUGAUUGAUGAAGCCUUUCGGGGUGUAAAAAUCUUUUAUGAAGGAGGAAGUUUAUUGACGUUACUCCAUGAAUAAGGGGCUCCAAACUCUGUGCCAGCAGGAGCGGUAAUACAGAGGCCUCAAGCGUUAUCCGGAAUUAUUGGGCGUAAAGGGUGUGUAGGCGGUUUUAUUAGUCUUUUGUUAAAGCUCCGGGCUUAACCCGGUAAAAGCAAAAGAAACGGUAAAACUAGAGGUUGUGAGGGGUGAACAGAACUCAUAGUGUAGGGGUGAUAUCCGUUGAUAUUAUGGGGAAUACCAAAAGCGAAGGCAGUUCACAGGCGCAAUUCUGACGCUCAGACACGAAAGCAUGGGUAGCGAACGGGAUUAGAUACCCCGGUAGUCCAUGCCCUAAACGUUGUUCUCUAGAUUUGAGGGGCAUCGACCCCCUUCGAGUCGUAAGCUAACGCGUUAAGAGAACCGCCUGGGUAGUACGGCCGCAAGGCUAAAACUCAAAGGAAUAGACGGGGGCUUGCACAAGCGGUGGAUCAUGCGGCUUAAUUCGUCGAUACACGAAGAACCUUACCAAGGCUAGACAUCUAAUUGAAAGCUCUAAGAAACUAGAGCCCUCUUCGGACAAUUAGACAGGUGUUGCAUGGCCGUCGUCAGUUCGUGAUUUGAAUUGUUCCCUUAAGUGGGGUAACGAACGCAACCCUCAUUGUGUGUUAUAAGUGUCACACGAGACUGCCC